rnacentral:misc_RNA from 1 species
UAGGGGGACCUAAUCCAUUUAGAAAUCGAAAACAAUGAAAAUUGUCAAUAGAAACUAAAUUGGUCUAACCUAGGUCGUUCGAGAUUGGUAGACAUCUUUCAAAGUAUUAUUCGGCUUCGUUCAAAACCAUAUAUAAUAAAUGGAAAAAGACAGCACCUAAUUGUCAAAGUUAGACUGCUGGAUGAAGUUCCAGCCAGAACCUUGAAAACUGCAUAAGAGAACAAGAAAAAGCAGGCAGACACAGACAUUUAGAUGGAUGUGGAAGCAAAAGAAAUUGU